UGUAGGGUCGGGAAUCCAACAGGCCGCGCGCCGCCGCCGUCGCCAAUUCGUCAUGGCGGCGCGCGCGGUGGAUGCGAGCUGAGCCGACUUGUUGCGGGUGCAGCGUCAUCAAGAUUCACGUGUGCCGCACGGCACACGUAUCGGUUUUCAAGUGUAGUCAUCGUGCGUGAAUCUUGAUGAUAGCUGCACCAGCAAAGAGCCGGCCGUAUAUAUAUUGUUCUAUUAGUAUUGUUUCAGGAAGCAUAUGUGUGCAUGGUUGUCUACGUGCAGGCAGGCAGGCAGGCAGGAUUAGCUUUUUGGCCAGGUACAGUAUACAUUCAACUCUCCAGGGUUUCUUUAAAAGUACGAAUUUCUUUUUGACAGGUUUUAUAUUCCUUGUUCUUAUAAUUUAUAGCAUUGCUGUCAUCUGUUCUCUUAUUUAUUAUAUCUGUCUUUGUUUAAAAAAAAGCACUCCUCAUUUAAAAAUAUAAACAUUUCUAGCUAGAUAACUGUAUAUUCAAAUUUAUAAGUUAUUAAAGUUAUAUAUUUGAAAACCGAGGUAGUACGUUCUUAAUUUUAUAAUGGCAACGUUGUCAUAUCGUUCUUAUAAUGCAUAUCUCCAGUUUUUUUAUGAUCUAAUUAAUUA
rnacentral:precursor_RNA from 1 species